rnacentral:rRNA from 1 species
AUGGCAAACGCAUCAUCCGGAGCUGGGAUCCAUGAUGACUGCAAGCUGAGGUUUGUGGAGCUCAAGUCCAAGAGGAUGCACCGCUUCAUAACCUACAGGCUGGAGAACCAGAAGGAGGUCAUUGUGGACCAAACUGGGGAGCGCGAGGCCACCUAUGAGGACUUCACCAAGACCCUCCCUGAGAAUGACUGCCGAUUCGCGGUGUUCGACUUCGACUUCACCACCCCGGAGGAUGUGCCAAAGAGCAGGAUCUUCUAUAUCUUCUGGUCCCCGGACACCGCAAAGGUGAGGAGCAAGAUGACGUACGCGAGCACCAACGAGAAGUUCAAGAGGACCCUGGACGGCAUCCAGAUCGAGAUGCAGGCCACUGACCCCAGCGAAAUCAGCCUGGACGUGAUCAAGGAGCGCGCGCACUAA